rnacentral:rRNA from 1 species
UGGGGAAUAUUGCACAAUGGAGGGAACUCUGAUGCAGCGACGCCGCGUGAGUGAUGAAGGAAUUCGUUUCGUAAAACUCUGUUCUAUGGGAAGAAAAGGACUGUACCAUAGGAGAAAGCUCCGGCUAAAUACGUGCCAGCAGCCGCGGUAAUACGUAUGGAGCGAGCGUUGUCCGGAAUUAUUGGGCGUAAAGGGUGCGCAGGCGGCUUUACAAGUUGGAUGUGAAAUAUUGUGGCUCAACCACAAACGUGCAUCCAAAACUGCAAAGCUUGAGUUAAGGAGAGGUAAGUGGAAUUCCUGGUGUAGCGAUGGAAUGCGUAGAUAUCAGGAGGAAUACCGGUGGCGAAGGCGACUUACUGGACUUAAACUGACGCUCAGGCACGAAAGCGUGGGGAGCAAACAGG